UACGGAGGGUGCGAGCGUUAUUCGGAUUCACUGGGCUUAAAGGGUGCGUAGGCGGCCUGUUAAGUCGGUGGUGAAAUCUCCGGGCUCAACCCGGAAACUGCCAUUGAUACUAUCAGUCUUGAAUAUCGUUGAGGUAAGCGGAAUAUGUCAUGUAGCGGUGAAAUGCUUAGAUAUGACAUAGAACACCAAUUGCGAAGGCAGCUUGCUAACCGAAUAUUGACACUGAGGCACGAAAGCGUGGGGAUCAAACAGG
rnacentral:rRNA from 1 species